rnacentral:sRNA from 2 species
ACGCUUGUCAAAGGGGAGUAGCUUCGAAUUGGGAACCCAUUCGCAAUAAAGUCGUCAUUACAUGGUGGUUUCAUCAUCGGCUUUGUUGGCUUUUAAAAGAGCU